rnacentral:rRNA from 1 species
AACGAACGCUGGCGGCAUGCCUAACACAUGCAAGUCGAACGAGACCUUCGGGUCUAGUGGCGCACGGGUGCGUAACGCGUGGGAACCUGCCCUUAGGUUCGGAAUAACUCCCCGAAAGGGGUGCUAAUACCGGAUAAUGUCUUCGGACCAAAGAUUUAUCGCCUUUGGAUGGGCCCGCGUUGGAUUAGCUAGUUGGUAGGGUAAAAGCCUACCAAGGCGACGAUCCAUAGCUGGUCUGAGAGAAUGAUCAGCCACACUGGGCAUGAGACACGGCCCAGACUCCUACGGGAGGCAGCAGUGGGGAAUAUUGGACAAGGGGCGAGAGCCUGAUCAAGCAAUGCCGCGUGAGUGAUGAAGGCCUUAGGGUUGUAAAGCUCUUUUACCCGGGAUGAUAAUGACAGUACCGGGAGAAUAAGCUCCGGCUAACUACGUG